GACGAACGCUGGCGGCGUGCCUAAUACAUGCAAGUCGAGCGAACAGAAGGGAGCUUGCUCCCGGAUGUUAGCGGCGGACGGGUGAGUAACACGUGGGUAACCUGCCUGUAAGACUGGGAUAACUCCGGGAAACCGGAGCUAAUACCGGAUAGUUCCUUGAACCGCAUGGUUCAAGGAUGAAAGACGGUUUCGGCUGUCACUUACAGAUGGACCCGCGGCGCAUUAGCUAGUUGGUGGGGUAAUGGCUCACCAAGGCGACGAUGCGUAGCCGACCUGAGAGGGUGAUCGGCCACACUGGGACUGAGACACGGCCCAGACUCCUACGGGAGGCAGCAGUAGGGAAUCUUCCGCAAUGGACGAAAGUCUGACGGAGCAACGCCGCGUGAGUGAUGAAGGUUUUCGGAUCGUAAAGCUCUGUUGUUAGGGAAG
rnacentral:rRNA from 1 species